AUGGGCGCAAGCCUGAUCCAGCAAUGCCGCGUGCAGGACGAAGGCCUUCGGGUUGUAAACUGCUUUUGUACGGAGCGAAAAAGCUCUCUCUAAUACAGGGAGUUCAUGACGGUACCGUAAGAAUAAGCACCGGCUAACUACGUGCCAGCAGCCGCGGUAAUACGUAGGGUGCGAGCGUUAAUCGGAAUUACUGGGCGUAAAGCGUGCGCAGGCGGUUUGGUAAGUCAGAUGUGAAAUCCCCGGGCUCAACCUGGGAACUGCAUUUGAGACUGCCAAGCUGGAGUUUGGCAGAGGGGGGUGGAAUUCCACGUGUAGCAGUGAAAUGCGUAGAGAUGUGGAGGAACACCGAUGGCGAAGGCAGCCCCCCUGGGCCAAUACUGACGCUCAUGCACGAAAGCGUGGGGAGCAAACAGGAUUAGAUACCCUGGUAGUCCACGCCCUAAACGAUGUCAACUAGGUGUUGGGAGGUUAAACCUUUUAGUGCCGUAGCUAACGCGUGAA
rnacentral:rRNA from 1 species